rnacentral:lncRNA from 1 species
GUCCACAUUUCCCAUAAGGGAAUGUGCCCUGCCAUUCUUGCAUGCAGUAAGAUCCUGCUUAUCGAAAAAAUUAUUGCAUGUGUGACUUUCAUAGAAAAAAUUAUUUUUUGCUGCUUUUAAAGACUUUAGAUGUCAUGUUUAAAGAACAUAGAAUGUAGGGAAAUUUUAUAUAUUUAUGAACUAUUUGAAAGGCAUAUUUUUUUAAUUAUGAAAUGGGGCUACUCAUAAAAAAUUGAUUGUAUAUAGAGAUGAUAUAAUUUAAAAUAGUUUUAUAAAUUAAGGUCAACAUUCCAUGUAAAUAUUUGACCAUCACACAGACAGAUCCCUAAGUGUUUUAUGUGCACUACUCAUUUGGUAGCAUUCUCCACUGGAUUCCUUACGUGUAGAACAGAAACAGAAACUACUCCAAUAGCCCUGAUUACUCACUCACAUCAAAAUAGAUAGAUAAUCAGACUAAAUUACCUAACAACACAAUCCAAAUGUGUCCUAAGUUUGUUAAUUAAAUAGCAAGCCACUCAGUUUAGAAACAGUAAAAGUGAGGAGGAGGUUACCAGAUCUCAUACGAAGCCAUGCUCUGAGGUUGUGUGGCUGGUCUACAACAAGUACAAGCCAUAAGUAGUGGGUUUGGUAGACUGUUCCAUGCUUUGAACAUUGACUGGAAUUCCCAAUAAAGUAAGAGUUCCUUGUACAAAGAAUGGUGGGAAAUGUAUAACAAUACGGGCAAUUCUCUGCCUAAUUUGGGCAGCUCACAUUCGUUACUCUCAAAUAUUUACAUAGAUUUUUUUUUCUUCACUUCAGAUAACCACCUCAGUUCUUUAAUUUGCAUGUAGCGAUAGUGUAGAUGGUAGAAACUGGGUCUUUUUAGGUGGUGGUGGUGAUGAUGGGUAUGUUACAAAAAUGCAGUUGUCCAGACCUCUUUCUCUUUUUAAAAUCAGAACUGAAUAAUAUUUUUAAAAUAAUGAAAGGAAUUUUGAGAAAUGGAAUGGUAACAUAGCCUUACACAUGCUUUUUCUUGAUGCUUAAAAAGAGAUUCGAUUACAAUUUAAUAAGACAGGGCCAACUCCAGGGCUUGCUGUUAACUGUAGUGAAAGCCCUUGGUCCUCUGCUUUCUGCACCUGCAGUGCCCCCUCACCAAGGAGGAAAGCACUGUGCCCCACUGAGCAGCCUGGUCCCAGACAGUGUCAGCCGCUACUGGACAGAAGAGGGAGGAUUGAGGUUUCCAGUGUAUACAUAUGCUUGAAUAUAGAUUAAAAUACACAUAUUUGAAAUACAUAUAUAUGCAUUCAUUCCACAACCAAGAAGGAAAUUCUGUGCCCCCAAAAUUGACAAAUCAGAUUUGGUUACAAGUAAAAAGGUAAAACUGAAAUAUAAUUUUCACUAUACUUUUACUGAUUCAAUGUUUCUAUCUUGGUAUCUUUAAGGCUGACAUUCCUGGCAUUGUGUAAUGAUUGAAUGUAUCUAAAUUGUAAUCAUUUAAAAUUGACAAACAUGUAAACUGCUCAGAC